AGAAACAGUCUUCUUCUUCCUCGCAAGUUCUCAACUACUCCUCCUCUCACUCCCUCCGCCGUUCUCAACCACUCCCCGUCCCUCCGUCUUUGUCUCACUGUCACGCCACCGCCGCCGCCGCCGCUGCCGCCGCCGUUCUGUGGGAUUUUAGGGUUUUCUUGGUCAAAAUCAACACUUCUGUUCAGCUACGACUUGGAGUUCACUGUUGCACACAAUCUUGUAGCUGUCAGUACUGGAAGCUUGUUAUACCAGGAAUAUCUUUGCUACAUAGGGGUUACUUGUGAAGAGUGAAAGUUUGAUCUCAUUCAAGAAUCUUACAUUGUGUGGGUCUACAAGUUGCUUACUACUAUACAGGGGUUACUUGUGAAGAGUGAAAGUUUGACCGCUUUUGUUUAGCUUAAUUAAGUCAUGGAUAAGACAUGGAUGAGAUCAAACCGAUUGUCGAAAGAGUACGAGAAAGGGGUAUGGGAAUUCGUUGAGUUUGCGGUUAAGCACUCCGAAGACCCGCUUCGAAUGCCGUGUCCUUGCUUGGGUUGCUGUUAUGGGGAUAAGGUUGACGGGAAACAGUUGGGAUCCCAUUUACUACGGUUUGGAAUUGAUAGAAGUUAUACAUGUUGGACAAUGCAUGGUGAGAAAAGUAACGGGAAUGCUGGGUCGAGUUAU